UCCUUUCAAAUAUUAAAAUAAAUAUAAAUAGAUUGGGAGUGUUGACCUUCAAAUAUAUUUUUCUCAUUCAUCAUCCAAUUUGUGUUUGCGAUCGAUCCAAAACAAUGGACGCCUUCACUUCCUUCUUCGAUUCAAGAAACCGAUGGAAUUACGAUACGCUCAAGAACUUCCGUCUCAUCUCUCCCAUCGUUCAAAAUCACCUCAAGAAGGUUUAUUUUACUCUUUGUUUCGCCGUGGUUGCUGCUGCCGUUGGGGCCUACCUUCAUGUUCUCCUGAACGUUGGGGGUUUUCUUACUACGGUGGCUUGUGUUGGAAGCAGCGUUUGGUUACUCUCUACAUCUCCUUCGGAAGAGAAGAAGAGGGUGACUUUGUUGAUGGCCGCGUCACUGUUUCAAGGUGCCUCCAUUGGACCCUUGAUUGAUUUGGCUAUUCAAAUAGAACCAAGCCUUAUCUUUAGUGCAUUUGUGGCAACAUCCUUGGCCUUUGCAUGCUUCUCGGGAGCAGCUUUGGUUGCAAGACGUAGGGAGUACCUGUACCUUGGUGGCUUGCUUUCUUCUGGAUUGUCCAUCCUUCUCUGGUUGCACUUUGCUUCUUCCAUUUUUGGAGGCUCAACAGCUCUCUUCAAGUUUGAGCUGUACUUUGGGCUUUUGUUGUUUGUGGGUUACAUUAUAGUUGACACCCAAGAAAUAGUUGAGAGAGCACACUUGGGCGAUCUGGACUAUGUAAAGCAUGCCUUGACCUUGUUUACCGAUUUGGUUGCAGUUUUUGUAAGGAUUCUUGUCAUUAUGAUGAAAAAUUCAGCUGAGAGGAACGAGAAAAAGAAGAAGAGGAGAGAUUAAUUUCUUACCAAUCUGCUCGGUUUACACCUCUGUUCCCUUGGUCUUCAAUACAUAGGAUACUUGACUAUAAAGUGAUUUAAUCUUCACGAACUUUUUCCUACUUGUUUGCUUCUGAACUUUUUAACAAAGCAUGUACUAAAAUGAAAAAAGUAAGGUGGUCUUGGACAACCAGUUCAAUUA